rnacentral:rRNA from 1 species
UUUUUACCUUUUUAAUYGUAAAUAAUACCUGCUCAAUGACAUAUUUAAAUAGCCGCGGAAAUUUAACUGUGCUAAGGUAGCAUAAUCAUUAGCCUCUUAAUUAGAGGCUUGUAUGAAAGGUAAAACAUUUUAAUUACUUUCUAAUUUAAUUUAAUUUAAUUUAAAUUAAGAAUAAAAAUGUUCUUAUACAAAAAAAAGACGAUAAGACCCUUUUGAACUUUACUUUAGUUUAGCUGGGGCAGCUAAAAAAUAAUAAUCUUUUUUUUUUUAUUAAUAUAAACGACCCAAUAAUGAUGAUUGAUUAUUUGAACAAGUUACCAUAGGGAUAACAGCGUAAUAUUUUUUUAAAGUUCUUAUUAAAAAAAAAGUUUACGACCUCGAUGUUGAAUUAAUGUUCCUUUUAUAGUGCAAUAAUAUUAAAAGUAGGUCUGUUCGACCUUUAAAACGUUACAU